UGGAUCCAGACUUUGAUUAUGGCUCAGGAUGAACGCUGGCGGCAUGCCUAAGACAUGCAAGUCGAACGAGAUGGCCCAGUGAAGGUUGAGUGCUUGCACAAGACUGAAUCUGGAUUACCAUCUAGUGGCAGACGGGUGAGUAACACGUGGGUGACCUACCUUCUCGUUGGGGAUAACAGUUGGAAACGAUUGCUAAUACCGAAUAAUAUGUAAGAGUCAAUUUUACAUUGAAAGGAGCCUUUAAAGCUUCGCGAUUAGAUGGGCCUGCGGCGUAUUAACUAGUUGGUGAGGUAAUGGCUCACCAAGGUGACGAUGCGUAGCCGAACUGAGAGGUUGAUCGGCCACAUUGGGACUGAGACACGGCCCAAACUCCUACGGGAGACAGCAGUUAGGAAUAUUCGUCAAUGGAGGAAACUCUGAACGAGCAAUGCCGCGUGAGUGAUGACGGUCUUAUCGAUUGUAAAACUCUGUUGUAUGGAAAAAACGACUAGGUUAGGAAAUGAACUUAGUGUGAUGGUACCAUACCAGAAAGCCCCGGCUAACUACGUGCCAGCAGCCGCGGUAAUACGUAGGGGGCGAGCGUUAUCCGGAUUUAUUGGGCGUAAAGCGUGUGUAGGCGGUUUACUAAGUUUAAGAUUAAAGCCUGGGGCUCAACUCCAGUAUGUCUUAAAAACUGGUAGACUUGAGUACGGUAGAGGCAAACGGAAUUUCUAGUGUAGCGGUGAAAUGCGUAGAUAUUAGAAGGAACACCAGUGGCGAAAGUGGUUUGCUGGGCCGUUACUGACGCUGAGGCACGAAAGCGUGGGGAGCAAAUAGGAUUAGAUACCCUAGUAGUCCACGCCGUAAACGAUGAGUACUAAGUGUUGGAGUUUUCCAGUGCUGAAGCUAACGUAUUAAGUACUCCGCCUGAGUAGUACGGUCGCAAGGCUGCAACUCAAAUGAAUUGACGGA
rnacentral:rRNA from 1 species